rnacentral:tRNA from 1 species
UCCGAGGCCGGGUCGGGCGCCGAGGCCGAGGGCGCCCCCGAUGCGCCUCGGCGGCGGCGGAUGCCCGCGUGGGUCGAACUCCCGCUCCUGGUC